rfam:Gallionellales bacterium RIFCSPLOWO2_02_FTLL_57_47 rifcsplowo2_02_scaffold_2424, whole genome shotgun sequence.
GAAAGCCGUAUGCGGGAGAACCGCACGUACGGUUUGAUGAGGGAGGGCAGGCGAGAGCCUGCUCUCUACUCUAC